GACGAACGCUGGCGGCGUGCUUAACACAUGCAAGUCGAACGGAAAGGCCCUGCUUUUGUGGGGUUCUCGAGUGGCGAACGGGUGAGUAACACGUGAGUAACCUGCCCUUGACUUUGGGAUAACUUCAGGAAACUGGGGCUAAUACCGGAUAGGAGCUCCUGCUGCAUGGUGGGGGUUGGAAAGUUUCGGCGGUUGGGGAUGGACUCGCGGCUUAUCAGCUUGUUGGUGGGGUAGUGGUUUACCAAGGCUUUGACGGGUAGCCGGCCUGGGAGGGUGACCGGCCACAUUGGGACUGAGAUACGGAGCAGUGUCCUACGGGAGGCAGCAGUGGGGAAUAUUGCACAGUGGGCGGAAGCCUGAUGCAGCAACGCCGCGUGCGGGAUGACGGCCUUCGGGUUGUAAACCGCUUUCGCCUGUGACGAAGCGUGAGUGACGGUAAUGGGUAAAGAAGCACCGGCUAACUACGUG
rnacentral:rRNA from 1 species